CGCUGCUGGGCGAGGAGGACGUGCGCACUGGCGCUAGAUCUGAGUGCGCCGGCAGUCGAUCUGCUUUGAGGCUUGAAGGAGGCGCUGAACCGGCCCGGGCGUGAAGACGGCGGCGUGGGGAGCUGGAGCACGAGCGGGAGGAGCUGGAGCCGCAUCUGGAUGUCGCCGUGAUGAUGAGCCGCAUCUGGACGUCGUCGUAGAUGGCCAGGGCUUUAAUCUGGAGCUCAUUUAACUUGGCCAGGGCUUAAAUCUGGAGCUCCAUGGCGUUCCACAAGCGCGGCGGCCAGGCAAUACUCCACUUGUACUGCAUCAAGGAAUGAGUACUUCAAACGCUGGUAGCAUCAGCAGCACCAAAGGGUAGCUUCAGGUUCUCUCCUGGCCAUGGAGCCAUGGGCUGUGAAUAUUAAGCACGAAACAGGGGUCUCCUUUCCUCUUAAGCAGAGCAGCAGCUCCGGUUGAGGAGAUGAACCUGGGCCGCAGCCGAGCCCAGCAGCAGGUCGAGGAAGAGCCUCCACCUGGGCAUGCACGGGCCAGGAGGAGCUCCUGGACGUGGGAGAGGAGGAGCGCCUGGGCUGGAGGUGGAGGCGCCUGGACCUGGGCGCAGUCGCCGGAUG